CAUUCUCCCUUUCCCUUCCAUCGGCUCCUUCGUCCCCUCCCCCACCACUGCCGCGAGGUGCGAACCCGAUCUCGAUCCCCAUGGCGGCGGCCGCGCUCUCCUCCUCGCGGCGAGCCCUGCACACCGUCCAUCGCCACCUCCUCCUCCGCCCCUCCCCCUUCCCCUCCCCCCGCGCCCCUCCCCCACUCCCGUCCCCCGCCACUUCCCCGCCCCUCCCGCCCCCUCCUCCUCCCGCUUCUUCACCACCGCGCGCCCCGAGGCGAGGCCGCCGCGGCAUGACCUUCCGGCCCUGCCGCAGCAGCACAAGGCGGUGCAGCGGCUUGUGGGCGGGGUCAGGUCGUUCGCGAGCGGCGGCGGCGGCGGCGGGGCGAAGCUCGCCCCGCUCGGGCAGGGGGUGAGGGGGCUGGGGCGGCCGGUGGAGGCGGCCAAGAACGCCGCGGCGCGGUACCGGGAGGCCGUGGGGCUGCAGGUCGAGGCCUUCUGGCGGCGCAACUACCUGCUGCUCGUCGGCGCCGGAGGCGUCAUCGUCUGCAUCGCGCUCUGGCGGGUCAUGUUCGGCAUCGCCAGCACCUUCGUCGGCCUCUCCGAGGGCAUGGCCAAGUACGGCUUCCUCGCGCUCGCCACCGCCAUGGUCGCCUUCGCUGGUAUGUACGCACGUGCAAGGUUCACCAUAAAUCCUGACAAGGUUUACAGAAUUGCAAUGACAAAGCUCAAUACCUCUGCUGCAAUCCUUGAAGUCAUGGGUGCACCCUUAGCUGGCACUGAUGUCAGAGCAUAUGUUAUGUCUGGUGGAGGCCCUAAACUAAAGGACUUCAAAUUCAGGGUUGGUGGCAAACGGUGCUUUCUUAUCUUCCCCAUCAAAGGAUCAGAAAGAAAGGGUCUUGUAAGUGUUGAGGUCAAGAAGAAAAAAGGACAGUAUGACAUGAAGCUGCUUGCUGUUGACAUACCGAUGGCGACAGGGCCUGACCAGCGGCUAUUCCUUGUCGGCGACGAGCAGGAGUACAAGGUUGGUGGAGGCUUGAUAUCCGAGCUGCGGGAUCCUAUAGUGAAGGCUAUGGCUGCAGAAAAGGAGUUUGAUUAUCUUGAUGAAAGAGAGGACGCAGAGGAUGAGCGCAGGGAGCGAGAGGAGGCCGAGGAAGAGGCAGCCGAAGCGUUAAGGCGAGAGGAGGACAGAUUACGGGAGGAGGCGAAAGAGAGGCAGCGGCGAGAAGCUGAGAAUCUUGAGAAAGGCAGCUGACCCAAUUGACCCUACACCGCUUUUUUCUUCGUGUUGUGCAUUUCUCAACUUUACCUCCUCACUCUUACAAUGCGUAGCGAUCAGCAUUUUCGCGGCGACGGAAAGAUUGCGUCUGAGUUUCAGAGAGGCGGUUUCGCCUUUCACAGCGUGUCGAUAGGGUAAUAAAUUUUGGCUGCUCCUCAAAAUGGUUUACUCGGGAGCGCAUUGUGUAAUUUAGUGGCUGCAUGAAUGAAUGAUGGCUGUAGCCUGCCCUUUUUGGUGCCUA